UACGUAGGUGGCGAGCGUUAUCCGGAAUUAUUGGGCGUAAAGAGCGCGCAGGUGGUUGAUUAAGUCUGAUGUGAAAGCCCACGGCUUAACCGUGGAGGGUCAUUGGAAACUGGUCAACUUGAGUGCAGAAGAGGGAAGUGGAAUUCCAUGUGUAGCGGUGAAAUGCGUAGAGAUAUGGUGGAACACCAGUGGCGAAGGCGGCUUCCUGGUCUGUAACUGUCACUGAGGCGCGAAAGCGUGGGGAGCAAACAGGAUUAGAUACCCCGGUA
rnacentral:rRNA from 1 species